rnacentral:rRNA from 1 species
AGGGCACCACCAGGAGUGGAGCCUGUGGCUUAAUUUGACUCAACACGGGAAAACUUACCUGGUCCUGACACUAGAAGGAUUGACAGAUUGAUAGCUCUUUCUUGAUUUGGUGGAUGGUGGUGCAUGGCCGUUCUUAGUUGGUGGAGUGAUUUGUCUGGUUAAUUCCGAUAACGAACGAGACUCUAGCCUAUUAAAUAACACACAGAAUCUUGUCUUCUGUGGCGUUUCUUAAUGGGAUCAAGUGUGUUUAACGCUUUGAAACAGAGCAAUAACAGGUCUGUGAUGGCCUUAGAUGUUCGGGGCCGCACGCGCGCUACAUUGAGAGACAAAAUGAGUUUUCUAGUCUCUAAUAAGGCUAGUAAUCUUUGAAUGUUUUUCUUAAUGGGGAUAGGGGAUUGCAAUUGUGCCCCUUGAACGAGGAAUUCCCAGUAAGUGCUAGUCAUUAGCUAGUACUGAUUACGUCCCUGCCCUUUGUACACACCGCCCGUCGCUACUACCGAUUGAAUGGUUUAGUGAGAU